rnacentral:lncRNA from 1 species
UUCCACUUUUAUGACUUGGACAUGCUUAUGUAUGAGAUUCAUGCCUUUUCCAAACUCAUAUGUUCAUCAUUAUUGCAAAUGGAUAUUUUUCUAACCUCAGGCCUCCUUUAUAUUCUCUAUUUGCAGAGAUAUAUUGCAUGUCGGAUUGGGAAUGAUAUAGUUUAUGUAGAAGAAGCCUUGUGUGCUGCUGGUGAUCAGUUUGACAUUGACUCGUUAAAGGCUGUAGUUGCAUGCAAAUUCUAUCUACAAUUUCCAGCAGAAAAGAAAUCAGAGGGUAGGUAGUUCCUGGUUUAUAUAUUUCUGUCAUAAUCAUUAUUGAAAAUCACCAGUAUAAGUUGCAGUUUUACCAUCUCCGCCAUCUUCUGUUACAAUUGCUUAGUGGCAUUUCUGUUUGUUUAUUCCUUUUACUUUGUGAUUGAAUGUUUCCUU